rnacentral:rRNA from 1 species
GACGAACGCUGGCGGCGUGCUUAACACAUGCAAGUCGAACGGAAAGGCCCUGCUUUUGUGGGGUGCUCGUGUGGCGAACGGGUGAGUAACACGUGAGUAACCUGCCCUUGACUUUGGGAUAACUUUAGGAAACUGGGGCUCAUACCCGAUAGGAGCUCCUGCUGCAUGGUGGGGGUAGGAAAGUGUCGGUGGUUGGGGAUGGACUCGCGGGUCAUCAGCUUGUUGGUGGGGUAGUGGCUUACCAAGGCUUUGAGGGGUAGCCGGCCUGGGAGGGUGACCGGCCACAAUGGUACUGAGGUACGGCGCAGACUCCUACGGGCGGCAGCAGUGGGGAAUAUUGCACAACGGGCGGGAGCGUGAUGCAGCAACGCCGCGUGCGGGAUAACGGCCUACGGGUGGUAAACCGCUUUCGCCUGUGACGAAGCGUGAGUGACGGUAAUGAAUAAAGAAGCACCGGCUAACUACGUG